rnacentral:tRNA from 1 species
CAGAGCGUAGCUAAAAUAGCAAAGCAUCUCCCUUACACUGAGAAGUCGUCUGUGCAAAUCAGACCGCUCUGA